AUCUGUGGAACUACUGGCACAAAUAUACCAAUACAACAAUGCCAGGGCACAAGCACUGUCCAACAAACAAAUCCUUGCCAAACAACUAACCCCUGUCAGCAGCAAGGUCAAGGCAUGAGCACCAUGGACACCAUGGC